UGUCGAUGAAGAACGCAGCAAACUGUGCGUCAUCGUGUGAACUGCAGGACACAUGAACAUCGACAUUUUGAACGCAUAUCGCAGUCCAUGCUGUUAUGUACUUUAAUUAAUUUUAAAGUGCUGCUUGGACUACAUAUGGUUGAGGGUUGUAAGACUAUGCUAAAUAAGUUGCUUAAAACAUUUCUUUGAUUCAAAGAAAUUGUUAAAUGCAUAUGGUAUAUUUUUGGAUAUAGCAAAUUAUAUUCAUAAUAUUAAAAAUAAAUUGAAAACAUUUACCUCUCAAAUAUAAUUAGUAUAUAUUUUGAAUAGGAAAAUUCGAAGAUAUAUAUUUUCAUUUUUCAAAUCAAUUUAAUACUGAGGAAUGUCUAGCAUAAAACUUUUUAUUGAACUAGAAUUGCCUCUUAUUAACGAUUAUGAAAGAUGAGAACGUUGUCAAUAUUAUAUUAUUCUUUGAAAAUUGUUUUCUAUUUAAGUAUCAAUACACAUAAAAAAAAGCACAUUUAUACAACCUCAACUCAUAUGGGACUACCCCCUGAAUUUAAGCAUAUUAAUUAGGGGAGGAAAAGAAACUAACAAGGAUUUUCUUAGUAGCGGCGAGCGAAAAGAAAACAGUUCAGCACUAAGUCACUUUGUCUAUAUGGCAAAUGUGAGAUGCAGUGUAUGGAACAUCAAUAUUCUAAUAUGAGAAAUUAAUGAUUUAAGUCCUUCUUAAAUGAGGCCAUUUACCCAUAGAGGGUGCCAGGCCCGUAUAACAUUAAUGAUUAUUAGAUGGUGUUUCCAAAGAGUCGUGUUGCUUGAUAGUGCAGCACUAAGUGGGUGGUAAACUCCAUCUAAAACUAAAUAUAACCAUGAGACCGAUAGUAAACAAGUACCGUGAGGGAAAGUUGAAAAGAACUCUGAAUAGAGAGUUAAAUAGUACGUGAAACUGCUUAGAGGUUAAGCCCGAUGAACCUGAAUAUCCGUUAUGGAAAAUUCAUCAUUAGAAUUGUAAUAUAUGAAUAAUAUUAUAAUAAUAGUGUGCAUUUUUUCCAUAUAAGGACAUUGUAAUCUAUUAACAUAUAUAUAUUUAUCAUAAAAUAUGGCUUAUAGUUUAUUCAAAUUAUUUUGCUUGCAUUUUAACAUAGAAUAAAUGUCAUUAAUUUGAUAAAGUGUUGAUAGAUUUAUAUGAAAUACAAUGCGUUAAUUUUUCGAAAUUAUAUAAUAGCAUAAUUAUCAUUGAUAUUUAUGUUUAUUAUAUGCAUUUGUAUGAUUAACAAUGCGAAAGAUUCAGGAUACCUUCGGGACCCGUCUUGAAACACGGACCAAGGAGUCUAACAUAUGUGCAAGUUAUUGGGAUAUAAACCUAAUAGCGUAAUUAACUUGACUAUAUAUAUGGGAUUAGUUUUUUAACUAUUUAUAGUUAAUUAACACAAUCCCGGGGCGUUCUAUAUAGUUAUGUAUAAUAGUAUUUAUAUUAUUUAUACCUCUAACUGGAACGUACCUUGAGCAUAUAUGCUGUGACCCGAAAGAUGGUGAACUAUACUUGAUCAGGUUGAAGUCAGGGGAAACCCUGAUGGAAGACCGAAACAGUUCUGACGUGCAAAUCGAUUGUCAGAAUUGAGUAUAGGGGCGAAAGACCAAUCGAACCAUCUAGUAGCUGGUUCCUUCCGA
rnacentral:rRNA from 1 species